rnacentral:lncRNA from 1 species
UAUUAAACAAUAAAUCAGAUCUAUUACAUUGCAAGUUAGACAUUCUAACCUUGUUGAUCUGGGCUUAAGGAUGAUGUUGCAAGCUGCACAUGCGUCCGGCCUCUAGGAGUCAUCCACACGAGCCCACGAAUCUCGAUCAGAAGUCCUGCUUCAGGAAAUCAGCACAGUAUGCUAGUACUGCGCUGAUCCUUCUUUGAUGGUUGAUCAGGUACCUCCUUCUUCUUGAUUUAGACUCUUCCAAAGAUGGAAAGUAAAAGGAGGAGUUUUAGAUCUGAGAUGCUCUCAGGAAACUCAUGAUGGAGGGAGGAAAGAUAUGAAAACAAAAAACCCUAGAAGAAGAC